GGCUGGGUUCUGUGCAAUAACAAGUCGGCUAACUCCGUCAGGUUCGGAAGAAAGCAGCGGUCGUCAGAUUUUGCUAUGUGCUGUAGAUCGCCUGGUCCGU
rnacentral:SRP_RNA from 1 species